rnacentral:piRNA from 1 species
UGCUGCCUUGUGAGAUGCCGAG